CCUACGGGUGGCAGCAGUGAGGAAUAUUGGUCAAUGGCCGUAAGGCUGCACCAGCCAAUUCGCGUGAAGGAAGAAGGAUCUAUGGUUUGUAAACUUCUUUUAUCGGGGACUAAAGGUAUCCACGUGUGGAUAUUUGCAUGUACCCUAUGAAUAAGCAUCGGCUAACUCCGUGCCAGCAGCCGCGGUAAUACGGAGGAUGCGAGCGUUAUCCGGAUUUCUUGGGUUUAAAGGGUGCGUAGGUUGGUUUUUAAGUCAGCGGUGAAAGUUUGUGGCUCAACCAUAAAAUUGCCGUUGAAACUGGAAGACGUGAGUGUGUUUGAGGUAGGCGGAAUGCGUGGGGUAGCGGGGAAAUGCAUAGAUAUCACGCAGAACUCCGAUUGGGAAGGCAGCUUACUAAGCCAUAAAUGACACUGAAGCAAGAAAGCGUGGGGAUCAAACAGGAUUAGAUACCCUUGUAGUC
rnacentral:rRNA from 1 species